UGGCUCAGUGGUUAAGAGCACUGGCUGCUUGCUCUUCCAGAGGUCCUGAGUUCAAUUCUCAG
rfam:Mus musculus chromosome 11 genomic contig, GRC reference assembly alternate locus group 129X1/SvJ.